CCUACGGGUGGCUGCAGUGGGGAAUAUUGCACAAUGGGCGCAAGCCUGAUGCAGCCAUGCCGCGUGUGUGAAGAAGGCCUUCGGGUUGUAAAGCACUUUCAGCGGGGAGGAAGGCGUUAAGGUUAAUAACCUUGUCGAUUGACGUUACCCGCAGAAGAAGCACCGGCUAACUCCGUGGCCAGCAGCCGCGGUAAUACGGAGGGUGCAAGCGUUAAUCGGAAUUACUGGGCGUAAAGCGCACGCAGGCGGUCUGUCAAGUCGGAUGUGAGAUCCCCGGGCUCAACCUGGGAACUGCAUUCGAAACUGGCAGGCUAGAGUCUUGUAGAGGGGGGUAGAAUUCCAAGUGUAGCGGUGAAAUGCGUAGAGAUCUGGAGGAAUACCGGUGGCGAGGGCGGCCCCCUGGACAAAGACUGACGCUCAGGUGCGAAAGCGUGGGGAGCAAACAGGAUUAGAUACCCGAGUAGUC
rnacentral:rRNA from 1 species